rnacentral:rRNA from 1 species
GACGAACGCUGGCGGCGUGCUUAACACAUGCAAGUCGAGCGGUAAGGCCCUUUCGGGGGUACGACGAGCGGCGAACGGGUGAGUAACACGUGGGUGACCUGCCCUCAGCUCUGGGAUAAGCCUGGGAAACCGGGUCUAAUACUGGAUAUGACUCCAUGACGCAUGUUGGUGGGGUGGAAAGCCUUGUGCGGCUGAGGAUGGGCCCGCGGCCUAUCAGCUUGUUGGUGGGGUGANGGCCUACCAAGGCGACGACGGGUAGCCGGCCUGAGAGGGCGACCGGCCACACUGGGACUGAGACACGGCCCAGACUCCUACGGGGAGGCAGCAGGUGGGGAAUCUUGCGCAAUGGGCGAAAGCCUGACGCAGCGACGCCGCGUGAGGGAUGACGG